AGGACACACAGAGGUGGUGCGCUUCCUCCUGGAGGCCUGCAAGGUGAACCCAGUCCCCAGAGACAGAUGGGGGAACACACCAAUCGAAGAAGCGAUACAAUUUGGCCACCACGAUGUGGUCACCAUCCUGCAGGACUACCAAGACAAAUACAGCCCGCCUGCCGGUGCUGAUGACAAGGAGAGCGCUGAGAAGAGCCUGGACAGCCUGCUGUAGACCUGCUGCACACAUCUACAAUAUUUGUUUCUAUAUGCAGCAGUGGAGCGUCGUGCUUUUCUGGAAUCCCUUUGAACAUUAGUGACCAUAUUUUGGAAAUAUGUGGUGAGUUAGUUUUGGUUGUUGUGUCCCGUCUGGUGUGCUUUGCUUCGUGGCUGUACAUCACUGCUCCACUUUAUAUCUCUGGCUCGCCUCUGUCAUUAUGUACUGUGUGUUGUCUGUGUGAGUGAGCGCCUCAUCAGUACAGCUUAAACAAAUGAUACAAUAUUUAGAUAUCUGUAAUGCAAUGUGUACAGAAUAUUACUCAUGUAAUGUGUCGAUACUGUAAAUCACACGUGUGGUAUCCCAGGAUAUAGAUUGUAUCAAAGUGUAUUAGUUUAGUUACAGUAUAGUUCAUGUUAUACUACUCUCUACCUGGAAAUAUUUGGGUAAUACUCUGACUCUAUUGGUUUUGUGAGACAGUGAGGUGUGGAAAUUAUCAUAUGAACUUUAUAACGCAUCCCUGAUGGUGUAAAUGUGUACAGGCACACAGGCAUCCUGCUGACGCUGCAGCUACCGUGCCUGUUUGAUCUCUGUAUAGCUACAUCUAUCCUCAGAUUGUUCUCCUGACUGUUGGAAGGUCAUUAGCAGGUUUUAUGAGGCUUCUAGGAUCUACUUUGAAGUCAUUGAAAAGAUUGUAUUAUGAAUGUAUUUUUUCAGUGGCAACAUUUGCAAUAGCAGCACUAUGUAUUUAUUUUACAGAGAGACUUUUUAAAAAGUGAAAUUGGUCUAAAGACAUAGGACUGUGUAAUUUGUUGCAUCUAAUAUAAAGGAAAGGUGGUUUCUUUA